GGCGGCUCCCUAACCCAAACCAGGUCGAUCCCAGCUUGGCAACAUUGCGAUUCGAGCUCGUGGCCGACCCACCUACGAUAAUCACCCAUAAAAUCGCUUUUUACAUUCAAUAUGAGCGAAAGGACAACUCGCACCAGACUAUUAGCACAAAAAAAUUUUAUUAUAAC